rnacentral:rRNA from 1 species
CUCCUGCGGGAGGCAGCAGUGGGGAAUAUUGGACAAUGGGCGCAAGCCUGAUCCAGCCAUGCCGCGUGAGUGAUGAAGGCCCUAGGGUUGUAAAGCUCUUUCACCGGUGAAGAUAAUGACGGUAACCGGAGAAGAAGCCCCGGCUAACUUCGUGCCAGCAGCCGCGGUAAUACGAAGGGGGCUAGCGUUGUUCGGAUUUACUGGGCGUAAAGCGCACGUAGGCGGACUAUUAAGUCAGGGGUGAAAUCCCGGGGCUCAACCCCGGAACUGCCUUUGAUACUGGUAGUCUUGAGUUCGAGAGAGGUGAGUGGAAUUCCGAGUGUAGAGGUGAAAUUCGUAGAUAUUCGGAGGAACACCAGUGGCGAAGGCGGCUCACUGGCUCGAUACUGACGCUGAGGUGCGAAAGCGUGGGGAGCAAACAGGAUUAGAUACCCUAGUAGUCCCA